AGGUGGUCCUAUAACUUUAGAUAAGAGUCAGAUGAUCAUGUCAGGAUGUCCUAUGCUUCCCAGAGGAUGAUAUAGAUCAGUGUGUAAGGCAGGACGCCUUGGGCUUCUCCCUGGGGCAGCCUUGAUCCUCAUCAAUAAACUCACCCCAGUUUUGAUUUAUAGGUUGGUUAUAGAUUAUUUGUGUCAACACUAUAAAUUCAGUAUUCAGUUGCAAAUUAGGAGAUCAACAUGACCAUGAUGCCAGGAAAGGGACUAAUCUGGGUGUUACCAAUAUGGUAUUACCAAUAGGGAGUAGGAGGGGAAGUUGGCGUUCUUUAUCUCAAGAGAGAUUCCUUAUUUUAAUGGAUAAGCACAUGUACAAUGUAUCUUUGAUAGGCCAUAAGUCAGGCUUUCUAGUUCAAGACGAAUCAGUUUUGAACUCGGUUACCCAAUAUACCUCAAUAUGUGAAAAUCUCUUGUCAGAUGACACUCUAGGCCUCUUGAUUUUUGAUAUUCAGGAUUCCCCUGGGUUGUUUUUGUUGUUGCUGCUGUUUUUAAAUAACUGUCAGCCUGAAAUAACCUCUUUUCAGUUUUCUCCUUUUGGUUUGUUUUCUUAUGUCUAUGUAAUAGAAGCAGGACACUGGCAAACCCUUUUAAAAACAUAAACCUAAGGGGUAGGCUGAGAGAGAUCCACGAGCUGCUCCUGCACCUGGUAAUUCUUUCUGCCUCCUUCAGCUCUGAAAGGAGAUGUAAUCACCACUCCCCCAACCAGACCAGGCAUCACCAGGAGAGCUACAGCUAUGACCCUUGCCUUAUUUUUAAUGCUAACAUCGCUCCAGGAGGACCUUACGCCUUAAGACCUUAACCUGCAGUGCAUGUGGAAGGAUGUUUUCCAACUGAGCCUGCGCAAGCGAAUGCCCACCUCUCCUUUUGAAUAUUCAUUCCCCAUCCCAAAUAAAUGUCCCUGCUUCCCUUUGUUGGAGGAAGCUAUGACUCUGGAAAUGAUUCCUCAUGGUCUCCUAUUUGCUGCAAAUAUACUUUACUUGUCAGACAA
rnacentral:lncRNA from 1 species